UGCAAGUCGUACAAGAACUCUUCUGCUUGCAGAAGAUAGUAAAGUGGCGCACGGGUGAGUAACGCGUGGGUAAUCUACCUCUGAAUCGGGGAUAACCCGCCGAAAGGCGAGCUAAUACCGGAUAAUAUCUUUUUAACUUAGGUUUUAAAGAUCAAAGGUGGUCUCUACAUGUAAGCUACUGUUUGGAGAUGAGCCCGCGUACCAUUAGCUUGUUGGUAGGGUAAUGGCCUACCAAGGCCGCGAUGGUUAGCUGGUCUGAGAGGAUGAUCAGCCACACUGGAACUGACACACGGUCCAGACUCCUACGGGAGGCAGCAGUGAGGAAUUUUGCGCAAUGGGGGAAACCCUGACGCAGCAACGCCGCGUGAGUGAUGAAGGCUUUCGGGUCGUAAAGCUCUGUCAAGUGGGAAGAACCUGCUAGAUAUUAAUACCAUCUAGCACUGACGGUACCACUAAAGGAAGCACCGGCUAACUCCGUGCCAGCAGCCGCGGUAAUACGGGGGGUGCAAGCGUUAUUCGGAAUUAUUGGGCGUAAAGGGCGCGUAGGCGGUCUCUAAAGUCAGAUGUGAAAGCCCGGGGCUUAACCCCGGAAGUGCAUUUGAAACUUAGGGACUUGAGUAUGGGAGAGGGAAGUGGAAUUCCUGGUGUAGCGGUGAAAUGCGUAGAUAUCAGGAGGAACACCAGUGGCGAAGGCGACUUCCUGGACCAAUACUGACGCUGAGGCGCGAAGGCGUGGGGAGCAAACAGGAUUAGAUACCCUGGUAGUCCACGCAGUAAACGGUGAACACUAGGUGUAGCGGGUAUUGACCCC
rnacentral:rRNA from 1 species